UUGGAUUACUCAUUCUGGAGGGAGCCAGUCACCAUGUUGUGACGACACUCCAGUAGCUCUUAGAAGAGAGGUCCGGUUAAUGAGGAACUGUGGCCUCCUGUUGACAGUCAAUACCAACUUGCCAGCCAUCCGUCAGUCAUGUUCUCUGAGAGAGAGGCAAUGAAGUUCAGGAUUCCUGCGAGACCACAAUUCUCUGAAAAUAAAGACUCUCCUGAAAUACCAAA